rnacentral:rRNA from 1 species
AGCCUGAACGCUGGCGGCGUGGCUAAGACAUGCAAGUCGUACGGGUGUAGCAAUACACCAGUGGCGAACGGGUGAGUAAUGUAUCGCUAAUGUGCCCCGGAUUCUGGGAUAGCUAUCCGAAAGGGUAGGUAAUACCAGAUGAUAUAACCUUGUCGCAUGGCAGGGUUCUCAAAGGAGUAAUCCGCUCUGGGGAGCAGGCGAUAUCGUAUCAGCUAGUUGGUGAGGUAACGGCUCACCAAAGGCGACGACGCGUAGCCGGACUGAGAGGUUGGCCGGCCACAUUGGGACUGAGACACUGCCCAGACUCCGUACGGGGGGCUGCAGUAACGAAUCUUCCGCAAUGCACGAAAGUGUGACGGAGCGACGCCGCGUGUGGGACGAAGCCCUUGGGGUGUAAACCACUGUCAGGGGUUAGAAAGUUCUGAUCAACCCCAGACGGAAAGGCAACGGCUAACUCUGUGCCAGCAGCCGC